CAGGUCCGCUGUGGGCCUUUCCCAGGUGUGGCUGAGACUUUCAGGCGCCACGGGCUUCCCCCCAGGCAGGAUGUUGGCGUUUGGAGUUGUUGCGGUGCAGGUGAUGAAGGCAAAUGUGGUGAGCAAAAGAAGAUCAGAGGGUGUGGCUGCUGCAGAGGAUGUGUCUGCUGUUGAGGAUGCCUCUUGAGGAGCAACAGUGAUGCAGAGCACUGCAAAAGCGAAGUGCAUGGGCAAAGGGUGUUGCGGGGUGUGUGUGUGUGUGUGUGUUGGUGUGUGUGUGUGUUGGUGUGUGUGAGGCAGAGGCAGUGGGGUGUGCAUGGCAGAAAGUGAGGGUGGGUGUCAGGCAGGGCAGCUCCAGCCUGUGUCUGUGUUGUUGUGUAGUCUAUGUGGUGUGUGUUGUAGCUGUGCUAUCUUUUGCUCAGGUCUUGAUGUUGCCCUUGCUCUUUGUGCUCAAGGAGCACAGCAUAUGCUUUGUAGUGCUAGUGCAACAGGCAUCUGCUGUCUUUUGUCUGGUCUUGACCGACUCAUCUGUGUUGCUCCAAUGAUCAUCUUGUUCUGUGCAGGCAGCUGAAAGCAGCAGUCUGUCACUGUGAUUCUGCAUUGUUUCUGGCCAAUCAUCUUGGCAGCCAUCAUUCAGGUCUUGUUGGUCGUGUGUUUUCUGAGGCCUCUCUUAUUUUGCAUCUUCCUGGUGCCCUUUCAGGGUUUUCUUCCCUGUGUCAUCAGAGCCUCGGGUCUUUCUUGCUGGCCUCUUCUGCAUGGCCGUUCCUCGCUUUGCCGGCCCCUUUCCAUCACAGAUGGUGGCAUCUGACUCUUUUCUGGUCUCGUGGAGAGCACCAGAGCCGCACGGUCGUGGCAUUGUAGGGCUUUCUGGCUGGCAGCAUCUUCUGUGCUGGCAUUGUUUUUUGCAUGGAGGGUGUGUGUACGUGUCUGUGUGUACGUGUCUGUGUGUACGUGUCUGUGUGUACGUGUCUGUGUGUACGUGUCUGUGUGUACGUGUCUGUGUGUACGUGUCUGUGUGUACGUGUCUGUGUGUACGUGUCUGUGUGUGUGUUUGGAGCUGCCUUGCCUGUGGGUGUAGUAAUGGUAGUUGCCAGAGCAGAAUAAUGUAUCUAUGAAACACUUAUUUUGUUUUUUCUUU